UACGUAGGGUGCAAGCGUUAUCCGGAAUUAUUGGGCGUAAAGAGCUCGUAGGCGGUCUGUCGCGUCUGCUGUGAAAACUGGGGGCUCAACCCCCAGCCUGCAGUGGGUACGGGCAGACUAGAGUGCGGUAGGGGAGAUUGGAACUCCUGGUGUAGCGGUGGAAUGCGCAGAUAUCAGGAAGAACACCGAUGGCGAAGGCAGAUCUCUGGGCCGUAACUGACACUGAGGGACGAAAGCUAGGGGAGCGAAAGGG
rnacentral:rRNA from 1 species